ensembl:rRNA predicted gene, 22535
UCCAGCCCAUACUACCCUGAACGCACCCAAUCUUGUCUGAUCUCAAAGCUAAGCAGGGUCAGGACUGGUUAAUGCUUGGAUGGGAGUCUCAUUCAUAUCAAAGAAGACUGAUACUGGGU